GAUGAACGCUGGCGGCGUGCCUAAUACAUGCAAGUCGAGCGAAUGGAUUAAGAGCUUGCUCUUAUGAAGUUAGCGGCGGACGGGUGAGUAACACGUGGGUAACCUGCCCAUAAGACUGGGAUAACUCCGGGAAACCGGGGCUAAUACCGGAUAACAUUUUGAACCGCAUGGUUCGAAAUUGAAAGGCGGCUUCGGCUGUCACUUAUGGAUGGACCCGCGUCGCAUUAGCUAGUUGGUGAGGUAACGGCUCACCAAGGCAACGAUGCGUAGCCGACCUGAGAGGGUGAUCGGCCACACUGGGACUGAGACACGGCCCAGACUCCUACGGGAGGGAGCAGUAGGUAAUCUUCCGCAAUGGACGAAAGUCUGACGGAGCAACGCCGCGUGAGUGAUGAAGGCUUUCGGGUCGUAAAACUCUGUUGUUAGGGAAGAACAAGUGCUAGUUGAAUAAGCUGGCACCUUGACGGUACCUAACCAGAAAGCCACGGCUAACUACGUGCCAGCCGCCGCCGUAA
rnacentral:rRNA from 1 species